rnacentral:tRNA from 1 species
CCUGGUGGGUCAGUGGGUAAAGAAUCUGCUUGCAAUGCAGGAGACACAGGGUUUGAUCCCUGCAUCAAGA